CCCGUGGAGUGCCUGAGAAACCGGGUAACUUGAGGGCAGGAGAGGGGAGUGGAAUUCCCAGUGUAGCGGUGAAAUGCGUAGAUAUUGGGAGGAACACCAGUGGCGAAGGCGGCUCUCUGGCCUAACCCUGACGCUGAGGCGCGAAAGCGUGGGGAUCAAACAGGAUUAGAUACCCUGGUAGUCCACGCCGUAAACGAUGGGUGCUAGGUGUAGGAGGUAUCGACCCCUUCUGUGCCGUAGCUAACACAAUAAGCACC
rnacentral:rRNA from 1 species